UACGUAGGUGGCAAGCGUUGUCCGGAUUUAUUGGGUUUAAAGGGUGCGUAGGCGGUCUUUUAAGUCAGUGCUGAAAUAUCCCGGCUUAACCGGGAGGGUGGCAUUGAUACUGAAGGACUUGAGUAAAGUUGAGGUAGGCGGAAUUGACGGUGUAGCGGUGAAAUGCUUAGAUAUCUGGAGGAAUACCGGUGGCGAAGGCGGCAUCCUGGACCAACACUGACACUGAGGAGCGAAAGCCAGGGGAGCAAACGGG
rnacentral:rRNA from 1 species